rnacentral:misc_RNA from 1 species
GCAUGGGUUGUAUUGAUCACAUACUAACGUGUCUGAUGUUCUAUGAGUGGGUGUCCCCUCAUGAGCUGAUGGCUAGUUGGUGGUGGUUGAUCUUCCGAUGGGACGACGCAUGAGUGGUGAUUAGGAUGUUCUUUCAUGCAGGCUCUGCGUAUCAUACGUUGAACUGUGUGGAGUCAACCGUUUCAGUAAUCCAUUGUGCUUGUCUUUUGCUCGUUGCAAAAUGAUUGGGUGGUUUCUGUGUUGGCUACUGAUUAUGGUAUGCGGGAUUUGAUGGAAUCCAUUUGUUCUUGGUUCUUUUGCCAUUGGCUUGUCCAGCAAAGGGGAUGUUACAUCGGUCUCCCAUGUUCCACACAAGUAAGCCCCUUAUGGGAGUGGAUUUGUGAUGGCUCAUGGGUAGCUGUCUAUGCUCUUGGGUAUGUGAACUGUUUCGUUGUUGUUCGGGUCUUUGACCCUUACAUAUCAUUUCUUGAGCAUGUAGCUUUAUUUUGUAUGACCCUCGAGCUUGUUCUUGAGCUCACGGAGCCGUAGUGCUUGUUGUUCCUCAGGGAGAAGCCGAGGUCUAUGAGUAAUGC